UUAUUUCCACAAUUCGCGAGCGCGAGAGGUGCUCUUUGUGCGUGCGUGUGUUUGUGUGAGACAAAAACAGACCAAACUUCCACAUUUUGUUCUUUGUUGAGACGGGAAGAACAAGGAGUAUAGACCAAAACUAUUUAAAGAUACAGAGAAGAUACAGAUGCAAUGCAGCCAUAAUGAAUAACUGAAUGACAACUUGGGGUGACAUAGCUGAGGAGCAGACACACUUUUGACAUCACGAAGCCUGGAGAUGGUGAACCACUUGGAGACCAGCCUCUUGGGGGCCAACCACUCAGACCAUGUAGCUCACCUGCAUAAGAGACCGCUUUUAGUCCAGCAUCACACAAAUCUUCAGAUCUGAUGGUCAAGUCUGACGGGGUCACUCACAUCCUCCCACUGCUGUCUGAGGCGAGAAGCUGCUCAUCAGAGACGGCACUCAGCAGACUGUUCUCCCUCUGUAGCUGAAACCAGAAGAAGGACAUGCCGUUCCAGUACUGCCCCAGCUCCCCGAGCCCCUUCGCAUGGCCCUCUUUCUCCGAGAGGGGCAGGGGGCUGCGGAAGUGGAGCUCGGGCGGGGACGGGGCCUCGUAUUCAGGGCUGCAGGGGGAGUAGGGUGCCUGGGGAUGGGGGCCGUUGAACCUCUCGUCUGCCUCGCUGCUGCGAUACGCCCCGUGGCUGUUGGACGGGGUGGAGCUGUGGCUGUGUGGCAGGGCUUGGGGCGAGAAGGCGUAGCUCUCUGGGGAGCCGGUGGGGGACAGCUCGGAGGGGUAACCGUACUCCUGAGGUGGGGGUGUCGCGUGAUCUUGGGUGGAACAGGGAACGUCGAGAUACCAGGGGGUUCCCUGCCAGUCGGGACAGUACUGAGGUGAAGUGCUGUCCUCGCUUUGGGGCUGUUUGUGGAAUUCGCUGGCUUUGAGAUCCUCCUCAAGAACCUCCACGAUGAUUGCCAGGUCCUCCAGACUCGUUUGACGUUUAUUCUGGAAGAAAUUACGUUUGCUUUUAUAAUUUUUUUCAUUUUUAGGACCUGAAUCUAUUUUAAAAAGGACUGCAGAUGUUUCUUCUUAAAACCCUGCUUUAAAAAAUAUUGUUAUUUCCUCAUAUUGUAAUCAAGAAUGAAGUAGAGGGAACUAAUAUUCUGAAAGAAAUUCUGGUUUUCAGUUGAGUACUGUAGUUUAGUGGUAGGGUCGGCUGAACUGGGGGGCUUCUGCAUGGCUCAGUCCGAAGCCUCCUGCUGCAACAGAAGGCCAGGCCUUUUGGCCUAGAUAUCCAAGUUCAGAGUUCAGGUGAUUCCAGUAGAAAACCGGAAACCGCAAAAUGUAAUCAAAUGGGUUCCACCACCAAGAAAUUUAAAGUUUAUAAACAUAUCUUCUAAUAUUUUAAUCCCCAUUACAGUGGCCAAUUGCAAAUUAAAAUGUAGCUAUAAUAUUUUUAAUUAAAUACAAUGUUUUAAUUAAAAAAAAUAUAUUGAGUCCAGGAUAAUUGAAUAUAUUCUGCAAUAAUAAAUACAAUAAAGAUGCAUUUUGUUCUUUUUAAACUCA